CACGUAGGGGGCAAGCGUUGUCCGGAUUUAUUGGGCGUAAAGAGCUCGUAGGUGGUUCAGUAAGUCGGGUGUGAAACCUCCAGGCUCAACCUGGAGACGCCACCCGAUACUGCUGUGACUAGAGUCCAGUAGGGGAGCAUGGAAUUCCUGGUGUAGCGGUGAAAUGCGCAGAUAUCAGGAAGAACACCCGUGGCGAAGGCGGCUCUCUGGUACGGAACUGACGCUGAGACGCGAAAGCGUGGGGAGCGAACAGG
rnacentral:rRNA from 1 species